rnacentral:rRNA from 1 species
UUAAAAAGCUCGUAGUUGGAUUUCUGGAUGGAGCGACCGGUCGGGCAUUAAUUUGUCUGCACUGGAGUCGGUUCCGUCCAUCCUCUUGGAAAGUGCGUGGGGCAUUAAGUUGUCUGGCGUAUGAUCCAAGUCGUUUACUGUGAAAAAAUUAGAGUGUUUAAAGCAGGCCUUCGCCUUGAGUACAUUAGCAUGGAAUAAUAAGAUAGGACUUUGGUCUAUUUUGUUGGUUUGCAGACCGAAGUAAUGAUUAAUAGGGAUAGUUGGGGGUAUUUAUAUUCCGAUGUCAGAGGUGAAAUUCUUAGAUUUUCGGAAGAUAAACUUAUGCGAAAGCAUUUACCAAGGAUGUUUUCAUUAAUCAAGAACGAAAGUUAGGGGAUCGAAGAUGAUUAGAUACCAUCGUAGUCUUAACCAUAAACUAUGCCGACUCAGGAUUGGUGAACGUUGAUUUAAUGACUUCAUCAGCACCGUAUGAGAAAUCAAAGUCUAUGGGUCCCGGGGGGAGGUAUGGUCGCAAGGCUGAAACUUAAAGGAAUUGACGGAAGGGC